rnacentral:rRNA from 1 species
GUUGAACGCUGGCGGCAGGCCUAACACAUGCAAGUCGAGCGGAGCGGCGGACGGGUGAGUAAUGCCUAGGCAUCUGCCUGGUAGUGGGGGAUCACGUCCGGAACCGGGCGCUAAUACCGCAAAAUAGCAGCUGAGCCUAGGUCGGAUUGGCUAGUUGGUGGGGUAAAGGCCUACCAAGGCGACGAUCCGUAUCUGGUCUGAGAGGAUGAUCAGUCACCCUGGAACUGAGACACGGUCCAGACUCCUACGGGAGGCAGCAGUGGGGAAUAUUGUACAAGGGGCGAAAGCCUGAUCCAGCCAUGCCGCGUGUGUGAAGAAGGUCUUCGGAUUGUAAAGCACUUUAAGUUGGGAGGCGGUACCAACAGAAUAAGCACCGGCUAACUUCGUGCCAGCCGCCGCGGUAAUAC